CAGUCGCCACGGUAAUACGAGGGGGGCAAGCGUUGUUCGGAAUUAUUGGGCGUAAAGGGUGCGUAGGCGGUUUGGCAAGUUUGGUGUGAAAUCUUCGGGCUCAACUCGAAGUCUGCAUCGAAAACUGCCGGGCUUGAGUAUGGGAGAGGUGAGUGGAAUUUCCGGUGUAGCGGUGAAAUGCGUAGAGAUCUGGAGGAAUACCGAUGGCGAAGGCAGCCAUCUGGCCUAAUACUGACGCUGAGGUACGAAAGCAUGGGGAGCAAACAGGAUUAGAGACCCCGGUAGUCCCUGUCUCUUAUAA
rnacentral:rRNA from 1 species